rnacentral:tRNA from 1 species
GCCGAAGUGGCGGAAUUGGUAGACGCACAGGACUUAAAAUCCUGUGUUCAGCAAUGAACGUGCGGGUUCGAGUCCCGCCUUCGGCA